CGGCAUGGAUUAGGCAUGCAAGUGAACGAACUCCUCGGAGUGAGUAGCGGAAGGGUGAGGAACGCGUGAGUAAUCUGCCCCCCAGUUGGGAAUAACAGUUGGAAACGACUGCUAAUACCGAAUGUGGCUUAAGCUUCGCCUGGAGCUUUGGCUAAAGAUUUAUCGCUGGGGGAUGAGCUCGCGUCCCAUUAGGUAGUUGGUGAGGUAACGGCUCACCAAGCCGACGAUGGGUAGCUGGUCUGAGAGGAUGGUCAGCCACACUGGGACUGAGACACUGCCCAGACUCCUACGGGAGGCUGCAGUCGAGAAUCUUGGGCAAUGCGCGAAAGCGUUGACCCAGCAAUGCCGCGUGUAUGAUGAAGGCCCUCGGGUCGUAAAGUACUGUCUCCCGUGACGAAAUUUGACGGUAGCGGGGAAGGGAGCCACGGCUAACUACGUGCCAGCCGCUGC
rnacentral:rRNA from 1 species